AAUAUUGCACAAUGGAGGAAACUCCGAUGCAGCGACGCCGCGUGAGUGAAGAAGGUCUUCGGAUCGUAAAACUCUGUCCUUGGUGAAGAUGAUGACGGUAGCGGGAGAAGAAGCCCCGGCUAACUCCGUGCCAGCAGCCGCGGUAAUACGGAGGGGGCUAGCGUUGUUCGGAUUUACUGGGCGUAAAGGGCGCGUAGGCGGAUGUUCGCGUCAGAGGUGAAAGCCCCGGGCUCAACCUGGGAACUGCCUUUGAAACGGGACAUCUUGAGUUCGGGAGAGGGUAGCGGAAUUCCCAGUGUAGAGGUGAAAUUCGUAGAUAUUGGGAAGAACACCGGUGGCGAAGGCGGCUGCCUGGCCCGAUACUGACGCUGAGGCGCGAAAGCGUGGGGAGCAAAC
rnacentral:rRNA from 1 species